rnacentral:rRNA from 1 species
GCCUGUUUAUCAAAAACAUGUCUUUUUGUUUAAUAUUAAAAGUCUAGCCUGCCCAAUGAUUAUUUGAAUGGCCGCGGUAUUUUGACCGUGCAAAGGUAGCAUAAUCAUUAGUUUUUUAAUUGAAAGCUGGAAUGAACGGUUUGACGAGAAAAUUACUGUCUCUUUAAAAUUAAUUGAAUUUAAUUUUUUAGUUAAAAAGCUUAAAUGUUUAUAAGGGACGAGAAGACCCUAUAGAAUUUUAUAAUUUUAAACUUAAUAAUUUUUUGGAUCAUAUAUAUAUAUCAUUAAGUUUAAAAUUGUUUUGUUGGGGCGACAGGAAAAUUUAAUAAACUUUUCUUUAUUAAGAACAUUGAUUUAUGAAUAUAUGAUCCAUAUUUUGAUUAUAAGAGAAAAUUACCUUAGGGAUAACAGCGUUAUUAAUUUGGAGAGUUCAUAUCGAUAAAUUAGUUUGCGACCUCGAUGUUGGAUUAAAAUUAUCUUUAGGUGGAGAUACUUAAAAGUUAAGUCUGUUCGACUUUUAAAAUUUUACAUGAUCUGAGUUCAGACCGG